UACGAAGGGGGCUAGCGUUGCUCGGAAUCACUGGGCGUAAAGGGUGCGUAGGCGGGCCUUUAAGUCAGGGGUGAAAUCCUGGAGCUCAACUCCAGAACUGCCUUUGAUACUGAGGAUCUUGAGUUCGGGAGAGGUGAGUGGAACUGCGAGUGUAGAGGUGAAAUUCGUAGAUAUUCGCAAGAACACCAGUGGCGAAGGCGGCUCACUGGCCCGAUGCUGACGCUGAGGCACGAAAGCGUGGGGAGCAAACAGG
rnacentral:rRNA from 1 species